GACGAACGCUGGCGGCGUGCUUAACACAUGCAAGUCGAACGGAAAGGCCCUGCUUUUGUGGGGUGCUCGAGUGGCGAACGGGUGAGUAACACGUGAGUAACCUGCCCUUGACUUUGGGAUAACUUCAGGAAACUGGGGCUAAUACCGGAUAGGAGCUCCUGCUGCAUGGUGGGGGUUGGAAAGUUUCGGCGGUUGGGGAUGGACUCGCGGCUUAUCAGCUUGUUGGUGGGGUAGUGGCUUACCAAGGCUUUGACGGGUAGCCGGCCUGAGAGGGUGACCGGCGACAAUGGGACUGAGAGACGGACCAGACUCCUACGGGAGGCAGCAGGCGGGAGUAUGGCACAAUGGGAGGACGCCUGAUGCAGCAACGCCGCGUUCGUGAUGACGGCCUUUGGGUUGUAAACCGCUUUCGCCUGUGACGAAGCGUGAGUGACGGUAAUGGGUAAAGAAGCACCGGCUAACUACGUG
rnacentral:rRNA from 1 species